rnacentral:lncRNA from 1 species
GGUUCAAUCCGACAAAACCAGAGAAUCCCAAUGAUCUUAAAUUGAGCGUUUUAAGAUCGGUGUAAGCAAAGCUUGAACACACAAUACCUGUAAUCUAUCAGAUUGUGUCUAAAUGAUUUUAAACCAUGCAUUUAUUUAUUGUAAACUGAGACCUGUUGUUCUCUUGCAGAUAGAGAGUUGUGUUUUGAAUAUUUCAAAGUGAAGAUUUACGGCAGCGGCUUUUAACAUU